rnacentral:rRNA from 1 species
GUGAGGAAUAUUUGUCAAUGGGCGAGAGCCUGAACCAGCCAAGUCGCGUGAAGGAAGAAGGAUCUAUGGUUCGUAAACUUCUUUUGCAGGGGAAUAAAGUGCAGGACGUGUCCUGUUUUGUAUGUACCCUGAGAAUAAGGAUCGGCUAACUCCGUGCCAGCAGCCGCGGUAAUACGGAGGAUCCGAGCGUUAUCCGGAUUUAUUGGGUUUAAAGGGUGCGUAGGUGGUUUGAUAAGUCAGCGGUGAAAGUUUGCAGCUUAACUGUAAAAAUGCCGUUGAAACUGUCGGACUUGAGUGUAAAUGAGGUAGGCGGAAUGCGUGGUGUAGCGGUGAAAUGCAUAGAUAUCACGCAGAACUCCGAUUGCGAAGGCAGCUUACUAAGCUACAACUGACACUGAAGCACGAAAGCGUGGGGAGCAAACAGGAUUAGAUACCCUGGUAGUCC